rnacentral:rRNA from 1 species
UACGUAGGGGGCUAGCGUUGUCCGGAAUCAUUGGGCGUAAAGCGCACGUAGGCGGCCUCAUAAGUCGGAUGUGAAAUCCCUCGGCUCAACCGAGGAAGUGCAUCCGAAACUGCGAGGCUCGAGUAUGGAAGAGGGUCGCAGAAUUCCCGGUGUAGCGGUGAAAUGCGUAGAUAUCGGGAGGAACAUCAGUGGCGAAGGCGGCCCUCUGGGCCAGUACUGACACUCAAGUGCGAAAGCGUGGGGAGCAAACAGG